AAAUCAACUGUGUAUGCUCCUAAGGAGGGGGAUUAGAACUGAGUUUUAUAUUUUUUGUGUAAUUUAUAAAUUUUCAGGAAAAUCUUGAAGGUCAAGAUGGAGAAGGCAGAAAGAAUUAUACAGUUUUAGAACCUGAAAGGACUUUCAUGAUUGUCUACUGUUAUAAUUCCCAACCAUGAAACUAUUUUAGAACUCUCCAAGCAAAUUUUAAUGCUUCAAAUAGUAACACAUUAGGAGUUCCCAUCAUGGCUCAGCAGUUAACGAACCUGACUAGCAUCUAUGAGGAUUCAGGUUCGAUCCCUGGCCUUGCUCAGUGGGUUAAGGAUCCGGCAUUGCCACAAGCUGUGGUGUAGGUUGAAGAUGCAGCUCGGAUCCUGCAUUGCUGUGGAUGUGGUGUAGGCCGGCAGCUGCAGUUCCUGUUGGACCCCUAGCCUGGGAACUUCCAUAUGCCGAGGGUGCAGCCCUAGAAAGACAAAAAAAAAACAAACAAAAAGUUACAUUUAUUAUAUAUUAGUUGUGUGCUAGUCACUGUAAUUUCUUUACAUGUAAUCCAUUCACAUUUAAAAAGUGUCAUACAUUACUUACUUAUCAAAAGGUCAAGUAACUAUAGCUCAGGUUUUCUCACAACCGAUCCAGUCGCCUUUCUCGUUCCCCACACUUUGCAUGACCUGGAGUGUUCUCAUAGGGCUAACAUUCGGGACACCUGGUUUUCACUGGAGCAGAUCAUAUUCUACUCCAGGCAGGAGAUUAUGUAGAAUACUUUUGUUGUGCAAAGCACUUGGCGCCUGACAGCACUGGCUUUCAGGUAUGACUCAACAGCUUAAAAGCUAGAUGAUCUUAGCUAAGUCACUUAACCUUUCUGAAUCUCAGUAUCCUCAUAGACGUGUUCUAAGAAUUUAAUUGAGUGACGCAUAUGGAGUGCCUGGCACAUUUCCUGGCAUGUAGACCUUAUUCAGUCUGUAGAUUCUCUCUACCCCUUCGCAGAGUCCUCAGCAUCCAUGCUGAUGAUGCCUUAGACGGGCUAACCUCCUAAUCUGAAAUGGGGAGCAUCCACCCCGUUCUCACACAUAAUGGAAUGAUUUUCCUUUGCCUUGUAGCUUGCUCCAAGUGCCCUCUUUUGUUACGCUUUCUAAUUGAACACGGAGUACUGCGGUUCCUCUCGGCAAGCGUUCCAAGUGGCUUCCUGCUUCCUUGCAGAUCUGCCUCUGAGUCAGCCUAUUUUCGUGGCCUCUCACAAUGGCAGUGCUAGCCCCUGUGGAGACCUCCAGCAAGGCUGGCUAAACCAAGGGAUCAGGCAGGCAGGCAGCUACCUCAGAUGCAGGCCUGACCUCUCUCUCCAGCUAAAUGGACAGACCCCAGGGGAUUAGCCAAGGAAGAAGGUGAAGUGUGAGCCACAUUUAGCCCCCAGCUAUUCCUUCAACACUGUUCUCCUUUCAUCGUCUCACUGACUGGCAUAGACGGCCACAGUCUCAACCCUCUUCUGCUCACCCUGCCCUCCUUUCUGGAACAUUCUCACAUCCCCUUGUAGGUGGUAACCAUCCAUUAGCCUUCCAUUUCGAUCCACUCCCCCCAGGAAUCACACUCCCUCCCAUCAAUAGCUGUGCCACUAGGGCACUGUCCUUUCUCAGGGGUGCUUGAUAUUAAGACUCUGGUGCCAGAAGGAUGGAUCUGAAUCUUGGGUCUUCCUCUUAUUAGCUGUGUGAUCUUGAGAAAGGAGAUCUUUUCUAAGGGAGAGUCUCCUCCUUUGUAAAGUAGGGAUACUCAUGAUACAUGUCUCAUAGAAGGACUAUGAAGAUUAAAAAAAUCUUAGGAAUGUGCCCUGCAUGUAGCUAAGUGUUUACUAAACAUUUUAAAGUUCCAUUUUUCAAAGUAAGCUCCUAUAAGAUUGAUCAGCUAUCCAUCCAUUCAUCCAUCUACCUGGUGCUUGGAACCCAGAGGCAAACCGGAUGCAAUCUGUGCCCUCAAGGAUCUGGCAGUCUUACCAGGGAGGUAGAAAUGCAAGCACAUUUAUUAUGAUGUGAUAGAACUGAAAGGCUUAGGACUUGCCAGCUUGGAUCCUGUCAGUCUUCCCCAUUGAUGUGACAGCUGAGAUAGAGCCUUCUCCUUUGGCUGCAUUGUGGUGUCUGCUAUUGCUCCUGGCUGCUCACUGAAGCCUCUUGGUCCCAGAGAAAAAAGCUGGAAGCUCUGGCUCCACAGAGGUCUGGGGGACCUGCCCUCCAUCCUGGUUUCAUGCCAUAGUAAUCUCCUCUUUCGAUAUAUGGGAAAUGGAAGAACUUUUAAACACAGGCUGCUAGAGCUUCCGGGACCUUUGCCAGGAUUUUAAUCCAUCCAAACCAAUUGUUCCAAGCUGAGAAUCAGUGGAUCAACUUUGGACUUGAUCCUCGAGCCAGAGAGCAAAGGUUGUGGGUCACCUAAUACCCUCUCAACACCUUCCACCCAGCACAUCUGUCUAAACCAUCCCCAACAAGGAAUACAUCCUAUCUUUGGAAAAUUUUCAGCAGAGUCAGUUCACAGAUGCUCCUUCCAAUAUGAGAUUAAUCGUAAAAACCUCUGAAUCAUCAUACAGAGAUGUGAGAGCACACAAAUAUAGAAAGUGUUCAAUUAGCUCAGAGGAUUACAAGAGCCUGUGAGCAUGGCCUUAGUCAGGGCUGUGAUUCCCACGUAAGCCAGCUGGCCUUCUCUGAUGCCUGCAGACCUAAUGUUGAGCGGACAACAUGUGGUCUUCAGGGAGCAGGGGAGAGCGUGGGCAGCUCUGCAGUCCCCGUGACCCCAUCAAAUGCUAUAUCCUGCAUUACCUCUGUGCCUUUGCCCAUAAUGUUCUUUCCAGUUGCCCCCUCCUCAGCAAGAUCCCUGCCGUUCUGGAAACCAUAGCUUAUGUGUUCUCUCCUCUGUGAGGUUUUCUCUGAUAGACCAUCCAUCACCUGAGGCUUCCAGUUCUGUGCAACAGACAUUUAUGAGGUUGUCUUUUUAUUACAAUGUGUAUGUGUCACUGCAUUUUAUGACAUGUGUACAUGUCUCUGUUAGACUUGAACUACUCAAAGUCAGCGUCCUGUCCGCCCUAUCCCAGUGCUCAGCAUGGAGUCCGCAUCAGCUGUGAAUAGGUAGGACCAGGUGAUUAGAUAGGAGGUGGUAAUUCCAACUGCCCUAGUGGGGAAGGCGUAGAGUUGCCAUCAGCGAAGAGCUAAGAGGAAUGGAGCUUCUGAUGGUCUCCAGGUGAGAGGAGCUGAAAUGGGCAGUUUCUGAGCAGAGAUCCAAGAUAUCAACUCAGCCUCUCACCGGCUGUUCUCCCACAAUUCUUAGCAACUCUUUUACCUCCUGGCUACUUGGCUUUGCUUUUUUCCUAAUUAUCUUGCUACGUUUGACUCUUAGUUAGGCUCUCAAGCUUAUGUACGUCUAACAUGUCUGUAGGUGGAACUACUAUAGACGAUAUGCCAUAGAGAUAUGCUAGUUGUAAAUUAGCUGAAGAACAAAGAUGAUAGUAAAGUGAGCGAAAUCAUUAGAACGUGACAGGUUUUGAGUCUAUAUUACAUUUUUUUUUUUCUUUUAGGGCCACACCUGAGGCAUAUGGAAGUUCCUGGACUAGGGGUCGAAUUGGAGCUGCUGCUGGAGCCUACACCACAGCCACAGCAAUGGUGGAUCUGAGUUGCAUCUGCAACCUCCACAACAGCUUGCAACAAUAAUGGGUUCCUAACCCACUGAGUGAGGCCAGGGAUCAAACCCGUAUUCUCAUGGACACUAUAUUUGGUUUUUAACCUGCUGAGUCACAAUGGGAACUCCAUUUUUUAAAACCUUUUAAAAUAUAAUUUAUUUAAUCAUAAAUUUAUAUAACUUAACAUGGUCAUGUUUAACAAACAGCUUAGAAGAUGCCCCAAAAUGUAACCAUCAGCACCUGUGAGCUGGUGUGGGCCGGCUCCAGCACCAUCGUCAGGAUAGUAACCCUGGUCCCUGCCGGGACCAUCCCACCAGGACUCCGCCUACCAACCGAAAUGCUUGAUGGGAGAACCCACACGCCCAGAACUAGAGACAGUGAGCCUCACACUUGCUCAGAUACCCAGAAAAGCCGAGUCUGGGCAUCGGAAGAACUGCCACUCUGCCGUCAGAGACACCGGAGACUACAGAGGCUACAAGCAGGUCUGUCCUUUGCUCCACUUGCUGUAGGUGCGGUGGCCGGGUGUCAGGGUGAUUCUGAAAUGGAGAUUUGUGUUUAUUAGGGGGGUCCUGUUGGCAACGACACCUAGGAGGUGUGGACCUGUGAUCCUCUGGGGAGCCCCAGCCCUCUUCAGUGCUGUGCAGCUCUGGGUCACAGGGCCCGGCCUUUGUAUGCCGCAUCACACAGUCAUGGGAUGUGGGCUGUCUAAACCAUCCCCAGGAAGGAGUAACUCCUACUUGGAAUAUUUUCGGGGGAAUCAGUUCAUAGAUAUCCAUGAACGAGUGUGGGGGUAGAUAGGCUGCUUCCUCUGCCCAGAGCAAUGCCUGCAGCGGGACUCAGCUGUAAGCCCUCCAGCCAGCAAGGCCCGUGGCAGCUGGGAUGGAAAAUGAAUGCCUUGGUCCUGCAGGGGUCGGCUCUGUACUUCAAGCAUCCCUUCCACCAGAGUGGGGCCCCAGAUCAGCAGCAGCUGGAAGCUUGUAAGAAACGCACCUUAUCUAGGCCCCGCCGCAGACCUCCUGAAUCAGAAAUGCAGGGGGUGGGGCGUAGCAAUCAUUUUUAACAAGCUCCUCAGGUGAUGCUGAUGCAGAUUGGAGUUUGAGAGUAACUGCCUCACACCAGCCGUUCUCAAACUCUGGUCUCAGAACCCCUUAUCCUUCUCCAGCUUAGUGAGGACCCCAGAGAGCUUUUGUUUAUGUAGAUAGACAAUACCUACCAUACAGAAAUUAAAACAAAGAAAUUUUUCAAAAAUAGCUUAUCAGUUUUAGACUUCCCGUUGUGGCUCAGUGGUGAUGACUGCAACCUGCAUCCAUAAGAAUGAGGGUUCGAUCCCUGGCCUUGCCCAGUGGGUCAAGGAUCCGGCAUUGCCAUGAGCUGUAGUGUAGGUUGCAGACGCGGCUCAGAUCCCAAGUUGCUGUGGCUGUGGUGUAGGCUGGUGGCUACAGCUCCAAUUUGACCCCUAGCCUGGGAACCUUCAUAUGCCUCAGGUGCAGCCCUAAAAAAACUAACAAGAUCCUAUGAUUUUAUGAAAAAACUACAUUUUCACAAUGAGAAAAGAAUUAGCAAGAUUUCACAUUUUGGUGAAAUUCUUCAAUGUCUGGCUUAGUAGAAGGCCAUCUACUUUCACAUGGAAUAUCUCUUAACAUCCUGUGUCCUAUAGUUUCUAGAAAACUCUACACUUGUACAUUUGAAAGAGUGAGAAGGAAAAAAGGCAGAUCAUAUCUCAGCAUCUUACAAAAAUAGUUUUGACAUCCUGGACUUUAAAAGAGGUCCUAAGGACCCUCACCUUGGGAAGUGCCACACCUCACCGCCUCUCCUGGAGCAGGAAGUCAGGCCACUAGGUCAGAUGCUGCUAGGUUUCCUAUGCGGAGUCAUUUUGGACUGUUUCUCAGACCUUGUGAAUGUUGUGUUGAGGAAACUGUGGGUUAUGUCACAUGCUAAGAAGAGUGGUUUUGUUUUUUGUUUCCUGGCAGUCAAUGCACUUGUUAGAGCUCAAAAGGGCAAGCUCUGUCUCUAGGGCAGCAGCUUAGUGUGUUUCCACCAUCUGUUUGGUGUGCGUGUGUGGUUCAGGCUCAGCCAAAGGCUUGGGCAGUGUUAAACACAGAACUUGGAGUUCCUGUUGCGGCUCAGUGGGUUAAGGACCCAACACUGUGUCUGGGAGUCUGUGGGUUUGAUCCCUGCCCCUCUCAGUAGGUUAGGGACGUGGCACUGCUACCAGUAGCAGUGUAGGUCACACAUAAGGCUCAGAUCCUGUGUGGUUGUGGUGUAGGCAGGGAGCUAUACCUCCACUGUGACCCCUAGCCUGGGAACUUCCAUAUGC
rnacentral:lncRNA from 1 species